CAGCCGCCACGGGAAUACAGAGGGUGCAAGCGUUAAUCGGAAUUACUGGGCGUAAAGCGCGCGUAGGUGGUUCGCCAAGUUGGAUGUGAAAUCCCCGGGCUCAACCUGGGAACUGCAUCCAAAACUGGCGAGCUAGAGUAUGGUAGAGGGUGGUGGAAUUUCCUGUGUAGCGGUGAAAUGCGUAGAUAUAGGAAGGAACAUCAGUGGCGAAGGCGACCACCUGGACUGAUACUGACACUGAGGUGCGAAAGCGUGGGGAGCAAACAGGAUUAGAUACUCCAGUAGUCCCUGUCUCUUAUAC
rnacentral:rRNA from 1 species